GAUGAAGAACGUGGCGAAAUGCGAUACGUAAUGUGAAUUGCAGAAUUCAGUGAAUCAUCGAAUCUUUGAACGCACAUUGCGCCUGCCAGCACUCUGGCAGGCAUGCCUGUUCGAGCGUCAUUUCAACCAUCAAGCCCUAGGCUUGCGUUGGAGCCCUGCGGCUGCCGCAGGCCCCUAAAAGCAGUGGCGGGCUCGCUAUCACACCGAGUGCAGUAGAUUACUCUUCGCUCAGGGCGUGUGGCGGGUUCCAGCCGUGAAACCCCCUACUUCUCAAGGUUGACCUCGGAUCAGGUAGGAAUACCCGCUGAACUUAAGCAUAUCAAUAAGCGGAGGA
rnacentral:misc_RNA from 1 species